UUAAGCAUAUCAAUAAGCGGAGGAAAAGAAACCAACAGGGAUUGCCCUAGUAACGGCGAGUGAAGCGGCAACAGCUCAAAUUUGAAAUCUGGCUCUUUUAGAGUCCGAGUUGUAAUUUGCAGAGGGCGCUUUGGCUUUGGCAGCGGUCCAAGUUCCUUGGAACAGGACGUCACAGAGGGUGAGAAUCCCGUACGUGGUCGCUGGCUAUUGCCGUGUAAAGCCCCUUCGACGAGUCGAGUUGUUUGGGAAUGCAGCUCUAAAUGGGAGGUACAUUUCUUCUAAAGCUAAAUAUUGGCCAGAGACCGAUAGCGCACAAGUAGAGUGAUCGAAAGAUGAAAAGCACUUUGGAAAGAGAGUCAAACAGCACGUGAAAUUGUUGAAAGGGAAGCGCUUGCAGCCAGACUUGCUUACAGUUGCUCAUCCGGGUUUCUACCCGGUGCACUCUUCUGUAGGCAGGCCAGCAUCAGUUUGGGCGGUAGGAUAAAGGUCUCUGUCACGUACCUCCUUUCGGGGAGGCCUUAUAGGGGAGACGACAUACUACCAGCCUGGACUGAGGUCCGCGCAUCUGCUAGGAUGCUGGCGUAAUGGCUGUAAGCGGCCCGUCUUGAAACACGGACCAAGGAGUCUAACAUCUAUGCGAGUGUUUGGGUGUCAAGCCCGAGCGCGUAAUGAAAGUGAACGGAGGUGGGAACCCGCAAGGGUGCACCAUCGACCGAUCCUGAUGUCUUCGGAAGGAUUUGAGUAAGAGCAUGGCUGUUGGGACCCGAAAGAUGGUGAACUAUGCUUGAAUAGGGUGAAGCCAGAGGAAACUCUGGUGGAGGCUCGCAGCGGUUCUGACGUGCAAAUCGAUCGUCAAAUUUGGGCAUAGGGGCGAAAGACUAAUCGAACUAUCUAGUAGCUGGUUCCUGCCGAAGUUUCCCUCAGGAUAGCAGUAACGUAUUCAGUUUUAUGAGGUAAAGCGAAUGAUUAGAGGCCUGGGGGUUGAAACAACCUUCACCUAUUCUCAAACUUUAAAUAUGUAAGAAGUCCUUGUUACUUAAUUGAACGUGGACAGUUGAAUGAAACGUUAUUAGUGGGCCAUUUUUGGUAAGCAGAACUGGCGAUGCGGGAUGAACCGAACGAGGGGUUAAAGUGCCGGAAUAUACGCUCAUCAGACACCACAAAAGGUGUUGGUUCAUCUAGACAGCAGGACGGUGGCCAUGGAAGUCGGAAUCCGCUAAGGAGUGUGUAACAACUCACCUGCCGAAUGAACUAGCCCUGAAAAUGGAUGGCGCUCAAGCGUGUUACUUAUACCCCUCCGCUGGGGCAAAAUUUACGCCCCA
rnacentral:rRNA from 1 species